UAUAUAAUAAUUACUGAUGUGUAUUUAUUUACAUGUUUGGUGUCACACUUUCGGUAUCUACAUAUAUGGUGGCAGUUGACUAAAAGUACACAUGGUUUUCUCUGACAGGAAACCACAUGUCUGGGUCUGAAUCACAUGGUGGAACUUUACUGUCCAUGUCUACACAAGUAUCUAGAAUGUGGUUGUGGUGAUUCAUCACUUUACUAUCUUGAUUUGCCUUGUUGUGUCGGCGUGGGUCAUCCGACUCGGGCGAGGUUACGAUAAGGACAACAGGUAUCGGGCAAAGAUCCAGAGCAUUGAACGAGACCGAAUUAUCUACCAGAGUACGUCCCCACCAAUAGACACAACCGAUCACCCCAACCAGCUACCCAGUGUUCCUGGUGUCUUGUCGGGCUACUCGCAGUCUACAACACUGUGGUGAUAAAAGUGGCUAUCCAACGUCUUCAACACUUAAGUGAUCAGAGGAUAAGGUCACCUCUUGGCAGAAUUGUAUUGUGGGAACAGUUGUUUGAGAGUCUUGACCAUCAUUUAACAGGGUAGUUACGUUCCUGAAAAUGCCGUGUUAGAUGAACUGGAGAACUUAUGGAAGAAUAGGGUUACAUUCCUGGGAGCCUCAAACAAUUUUUUUUAGGCCUCCA